rnacentral:rRNA from 1 species
UACGGAGGGUGCGAGCGUUGUCCGGAAUUAUUGGGCGUAAAGAGCUCGUAGGCGGUGUGUCGCGUCGGCCGUGAAAACCUGCAGCUUAACUGUGGGCUUGCGGUCGAUACGGGCAUCACUGGAGUUCGGCAGGGGAGACUGGAAUUCCUGGUGUAGCGGUGAAAUGCGCAGAUAUCAGGAGGAACACCGGUGGCGAAGGCGGGUCUCUGGGCCGAUACUGACGCUGAGGAGCGAAAGCGUGGGGAGCGAACAGG